UCCCUUCAGAUCUACGCUUGGCGGGUG
rnacentral:piRNA from 1 species